GCCGCAGCCGAAGGAGAGCGCAGAGCGACUCGAGGAGAACGUCUCUUUUGCGCACCUUUAUUUGACAGCAUGCAUUUCACAGAGAGUGGGACAUUAUUCUGAAGGCUGUGCGUUAACUGUGUGUCACGCAUGAAUAUGCUGCGCUUUAUUCUGGACUGUCUGCGGCCGGCACGAGCUCGCGCUGCAGCCGCUGCCAGAGACACGGAGCUUGAGGCUCAGGUCAACACUUCAGAUGAGAAUGAAAUCAAGGGUCUGCAGGAUGAGGUGCACAUGGAACAGGAGACCCUUCAGACGGUCAAGGCCUUGCGCCGUAACACGCAGGAGACCGUGGAGAUGCUGGAGGACAGGAAGACACAGCUGAAGGAAGAACUGAAGAUCAUCUAUGACCUCCAGAAACAGGAGAGGGAAGUGCUGCAGUCGCUGCAGGAGGAGCAGCAGGAGCUGGAGCAGACCGCGCAGCAGUAUGAUGUUGAGCUGUGUGCCGCGGCCGAAGAUCUCCUGCAGCUCCAGCGGGAAGUGGCUUACGCUAAAGCAC
rnacentral:lncRNA from 1 species